rnacentral:lncRNA from 1 species
CGAGUUACCUUGGCCGCUGGGCGGCUGUUCUGAGCGAGGAACUCCUCCUGCAGCGGCAGCAGCAGCGGUAGCAGUAGCAGCAGUAGCACCAGCGGUAGCAGUGGCAGCAGGGGAGCAGCAAGCGGAUCUCCGGCAAUAGCGAAAUACCCUAAGAAGAUAUCAGCGCCGCAACCACCAGGGCCCCACACAGGCGCCGCAGCAGCAGCAGCCGCAACGGAACGCACAGCAGCAGCAGUCGCAGCAACAUAUAGCUCCCGGGGUGAGGUGCACCGGAAGGGGAAAUGCAAACAUGGACUGAGCAGCAGUACAGCAGUAGGAAUAGCAGUAGCAGCGGCAGCAGUGGCAGCAGCAGUAGCAGCAGCAGUAGUAGCAGAGGAGGUGGGAGCAACAGGAGAACUAGCAAUGGCAAAAAGGCGUGUACGAUUGAGAUACGGCAAUACGGCAAACCUGCAUCAUGAGCAGCUCCUCGUCCUCAGUCCACCCCGCCAGGUCCUCCUCGCCGCGGAUACUGCCGCCGCCGCCGCCGCCGCCGCCGCCGCGGAUACUGCCGCCGCCGCCGCCGCCGCCGCCGCCGCGACGGCAGCCGCUUUCUGGGAGCCCCUCCUGGCCACCUGGAGCCGCCGCCGCCACACGACCUGCAUGUAGACCUGUAACCGUAGAGAUAAGGACAUACAUACAUAUUUGCUAACUUGCCCCAUUCUUUUUUCAUCACGUCUUGCUUAAUCCUUUCAUACAGUACGAUACCAAUAGACUUUAAUUAAAUGUCGUACGGGUCCGGAAUUUUAAAGUUCUCUAGCCAAGGGCUCCGGUGCGUGGUGCUUGGAUUCGAGGAUUCACAUGUAGAGAGGUGUCACGCAGCGAACACUCAGGAAACGGGUUUUCACGUACUGCCUUGUCUGUACGACAUCACUGCCUUUAUUACCAUGUGCAGUUGUGCAUUUUACGUGAAAUUUUCUUUCAUGUGUCAAGAAUUCUCAGAUUGCAUGCGCGGCUCGGAAUACCUGAUUGUGUUGCGGCUGUUCGUUGCAUAGCUGCAGCGCCAAGGGUCGUCCUCGCUUGCUUUAUGGGAGCUCCGGAACCGUUCCGGUGCGCAAGGCGGGUAACGUUGGCGGCGGGGCGCCGCUGGUGCGCGAGGAAUUCCUCCUACACUUUGUAAAUAAUCGGCAAUUGUCAACGUGCUUGAGGUUUUGCUUGGUUAGGCUGUAACCGGCAUGUAACUGAUUCCGGUCGUCGAUCGAGUUCGCUUGCCUGCAAAGCCAACAGCUCUUCCUCGGAGCUUGCGGCCAGUUCCCGCCCACGAGGAUUUUCUGUUUCCCCCUCCAUAAUGAAGCCAAUAAUAUCGGAUUACAGCAAGGAACUGCGUCGGCUGGGACGUAACGAUGUGGCUAAGGUCCUCAUGGACUGAAAGAUGACAUUCCUGACUGUGCUGUUUAAAACUAGACGCGUAUUGAAAUGAUAUGAAGCGGAGGGGCUGACCGAUAUGGCAAUGCUCGUCCAGUUGUCGUUCUGUUUUCCACCUGUUUUCCGUCUAUUGCACAUGAUAAGCCAUGCAAUGCAGUUUGACAUUUACACUGCUGUUUUCUUAGUCACACUCAAGCGCGAGUGAGCGAAAAAGUCGCUUGCUAAGCGACCCUCCUACACCUGUAACGACUAUGCAAGCAUUGCAGCGGUCGGUGCCGAGCGCGCGUGCAGGUGCUCGCGCUGUGCGUCCUGCGCGUAAGAUGGUGACUUGCACAGCUGCAUCUCGCCCAAGUAAGUCUAGCAGAAUGGGUCAUGCGUUCGCGGUCGGGCUUGCAUGCAGAGGCUCACGAGCCGCGGUUUCAUAUGCAGUCCCCCGAGCCACCAACGAACAGAAGCUUGACUUGCUAAAGAAAGUGGAA